UACAGAGGGUGCAAGCGUUGUUCGGAAUUACUGGGCGUAAAGCGCGUGUAGGCGGCUUGUUAAGUCCUGUGUGAAAGCCCCGGGCUCAACCCGGGAAGUGCGCAGGAUACUGGCGAGCUGGAGUGGCGGAGAGGGUGGCGGAAUUCCCGGUGUAGAGGUGAAAUUCGUAGAUAUCGGGAGGAACACCUGUGGCGAAGGCGGCCACCUGGACGUUUGACUGGACGCUGAGACGCGAAAGCAUGGGGGAGCAAAACAGGG
rnacentral:rRNA from 1 species